rnacentral:miRNA from 1 species
GAGGUGGGAGGUCACUUGAGGGCAAGGGGUCGAGGCUGCAGUGAGCUGUGAUCGCACCACUGCACUCCAGCCUGAGUGACAGAGCAAGAUCUUGUCUC